AUGAGAUCUUGUUUUUUGAUAAAUCUCUGGACAUAUUGUGUGAUAUGCAUCAGACAGACAGUGAAAAGUCUGUGGGUGUGAUGUCUAAGCCAGAUACGAAGCUCAAUCCAUCAGCUCCCAUUACAGGUCUCACUGGUCAUCUCUCAUCGGUCAUAUAGAGCAGCGCACCAGCCCACACCUUUCCCAGAGCCUCUCACAUAUUCUGGUAAUUGAAUCCAAACUCUCUCUCUUCUGCCUUUACUUAACAUGGCUAUUCCCAUAAACCCUCUCACUUUACCCUGCCAGAAUCCACGGAGGACACUAAGGGAUUAUCAUCUUAUCCACAGGGCGAGUUCUUGUUCAAUCAAUGGUCUUGAAGAAAAAGUUACACACAUGUAUUACCCAUCUUUACUUUACCCCAUCCUUGUUCCUGUACCGUGUAAGACCUAGCAACCUGACCUACAUCCAGAUUUAGGCUGAUGUGAGCAGUGAAGAUGUUAAUAUGCUUACAAAGAGAUUACAGAGAGAAUUCCUUCUAUUUGUGACUCUCUUCAUGGAGUAAAUGCAACACUCAGGUGUUUCCUACUCUUAUCCUUGUGGAAUACAGGCCCAAGGCAACAUGAUGACUGAUGAUGACGAUUCCUCUGGCUCUAAAACUUCACUGCCCUGUCCUUUGCCCUCUACUGCUAUUCCGAUCUAGAUGCAGUCAUCACUGUGUGAUGUAACAGGAUGCUGGAAAGGUCAUGGAGAAUUUCAUUUGGCUUGCAGUCACGCACACAGGAACAUUCGGGAUGUACAAAGCUGAACAAAUCACUGAAGACGAGCAUCAUGAGAUACGAUUACACACAGCAAUCCAACAGAGAUGAGGAGGGAAAAUGCUUGUUGCAACAUCCUGUAGCUCCCCACACACAUUAAGGCCGGGACACACCAAGCCAACUUCAAAGAACUAGCAGUGACAAAAUCUGAUGGUGGUGUCACCAAGCGUUGGCUGCAUCGGACCACAGCCGACGGCAAACUAACACAUGUGUUCUGCGCAUGCCUGAGAGGAACUCUCGCCGAUGGGCCCAACGUCCCAGACAGCUAUUCAACAUGUUGAAUCGGGCAAACUGCCACCGAUGUGAGACCCGACGAGUGGAACACACCAAACAAACUAGACCGACCGUCGCUCGCCGGCUUCAGUCCUGCUUCUGGACUCUUCAAAUAGACCAUUGGUCUUCUGAUGGAAACGCACAGUGUCACAAAAUCAAUACUCAGCUGUAGGAGUUUGAGUUUCCCUAGCUAGACUGCAGAGAGGUAGUGUGUGAUCUCUGACUUACUCACCUCAGCAUGGCCACCCGCGGUGAGGGUCUUACUGCAGCGCUCACACUUCAAACAGAACUUGUGCCAAUCCUUCCCCAGUGAUGACACUUUCUCAGCUGGGAGAUGAGAAAGAGAGAGAGAGAGAAAGACUGAUUUUUACACUUUUUCAUUAAAAAUAUGUAAGUCCAUACAUUAAAAAUCCUUCUGCCUAAUACUAAAGGUAUUGUCAGUGGUUGCCAACUCCUUGAGAACUGUAGAGCAUUGAUUGGUGGCCACAAGGGUAUUGAGGCAUUACUACUAAAACAAUACUUCCCUUAGUGACAUUUUUAUUUAUUUAUUAUUAUACAUGACAUCCUUAUGUGAUGUCAUAAUUUGUGUGCAGGCUCAUUUAGGCGUUAAAUUAAAAAGGAAUAGAAUACUUGCAUGAUUUGCUUUGUUCUUUAUAAUAGACUAUGGUUGCAUCUGAACAUGCAUACUUCCCUAGUGUAUAGUAGGCAAAAGCAGUAUGUGAAAAGAGCAGUAUCCCCAGUGUUCAUAAAACAGCAGGCAAAAAGUACCCAGGUGACCUACUACUUUCAAUGACAUUCUGAAGUUAGCAUUCAAUAGACAAUUUACUAUUUCAUGAGGGCAAAGAAGAGAACUGGCAGUUGCUGGUAGCUCACAAAACAAUGACAGCAUAUGACAAAUAUCUGCAUUCAUACUUUACACAUUCAUACUAUACAUAUUAGGACUCAUUUUUUUUCAGUGGUGUACUUAGAGAGUAUGCAAUUUUAUGACAAAUUAAAUGUCAUAUUGUAAUAAUAAUGUGCUGCUGUGUUGUGAUGAUAAUGUGGACCUGCCCAUAACCACAGUUAUGGAGAGUCUCCACACAGCAUUAUUAAUGUUGGAUCUGCUUAAUUUUAAGAUCCAUCAAGCUUCAUGUUUUGGGGAUGUGUGCUGGUCUGGACAUGGCAUUUACAUUCUGAUAAGCAAUGUGACAUCAUAUUACAUAAAAACAAUGAAAAGCA